GACUGCAACAUGUAUCAUCAUCAUGAAUGAGAAAACAUUCAGGGAAUAGGAUAUCUUUUUGGGUUUUUGCCGAUCAUGUGCACCUCUUUGAGUCUUUUUAGGUGAUCCAUUCCUUUCGUCUCCUGAAUCAUGGUACCUCUACCGAUGCAUGUCUGUAAGAUCUCUCACCUCAGAUCAUUACCAUCUCUCUCUCUCUCUCUUUCCUUCUUGUAGUGUCACUUUAGCUGUUACUAUAUGCUUUUUUGGUUGAGUUGAGUUGAUACUGUAUGUGAUCAAUCAUUCUUUUGCCAAACCCAAAGCAUUAUACACUAAACACUGAUAGUUUUGUCCCAUGCCUGCAGCCUUCCAUCAGUGUUGAAAUUUAUAUCUUGAGCUGCAGCUUUUCUUUUCCAUAGUGGUGGUGGAAGUCUGUAGGAUACUACUGCCUCUGAUCUUUGUUUAUCCCUUUACCCCACCAUGACAUUGCCUAAGUAAUCUUUUGGAGUGAAGAAUGGCUUUUAAAGUGACCAAUCAAUCCCCCCACACCCCCCAGUCAUGCCUGUGAUCAUCCAUUGUCAUUGCUCAGGAACAAAGUACUGUUUGUCAUGAGAGGCAAGGAGGUUGUUGACUGGAGAGCAUCAAAGGAGAUCGGAGAUAGCCAAAUGCUUUCUUUUCUGUAGUCCAUGGUAGCCAGUUUGAGAAGUGUUGAUUGCAAUCGAGUUCUGAGUUCAAGCAUCUGACAGGGAGAAGUUGCCAUGAAUAGUUUUGGAGAGAGGCCACAGACAUGGAGUGGAGACUCUGUCUCUACUCCAUCAGAACUAGCUUACGGCAGGGAUGGCUCUUGGAAGGACCUAGGAACAUCGAUGAGCGCGAUCUCAUUCGGUUUAGCUGCAACCGCAAUCCUGAUCUCCAUGUUCCUCGUCAUGGCGAUAUUUGAGCAUCUGAUCAAGCCAAGGGCAUCUCUUCUAAGUUCUCGGCACAGUGCAACAGAAUCCUCAGAGAUGAGCCAACCACAUGCUCAGGUUCACUUGCAGAAGUUUCAGCAUCCGGUAGCAGUUGGAACUCAGUACACAGCUGAUUUCUCUGUGUUAAUGCCGGGCCAGCAGUAUCCUACCUUCAUUGCUCAACCUGCUCCUCUUCCUUGCCCAAGAGAAGGGAUUCAAUGGCCACCCCAUGAUCCUCACAUAUCCUUCAUGUAAAUACAGGUUUUGUCUGUAAUGGAAUCUGCUCUCUUGGAUGCAAUUAAACUUUUCUUUCAGGCCAAACAAUAAAAGGAAGGCUUGUUUAUAUCA